CAGGACGAACGCUGGCGGCGCGCCUAACACAUGCAAGUCGAACGGACUUAUGGAGCUUGCUCUAUAAGUUAGUGGCGGACGGGUGAGUAACACGUGAGCAACCUGCCUUUCAGAGGGGGACAACAGUUGGAAACGACUGCUAAUACCGCAUAAGACCACGGGAUGGCAUCAUUCUGCGGUCAAAGAUUUAUCGCUGAAAGAUGGGCUCGCGUCCGAUUAGAUAGUUGGUGAGGUAACGGCCCACCAAGUCGACGAUCGGUAGCCGGACUGAGAGGUUGAACGGCCACAUUGGGACUGAGACACGGCCCAGACUCCUACGGGAGGCAGCAGUGGGGGAUAUUGGACAAUGGGGGGCCAACCCUGAUCCAGCGACGCCGCGUGAGGGAAGAAGGUUUUCGGAUUGUAAACCUCUGUUGACAGGGAAGAAAAUGACGGUACCUGUUUAGAAAGCCACGGCUAACUACGUGCCAGCCGCCGC
rnacentral:rRNA from 1 species